rnacentral:rRNA from 1 species
UACGAAGGGGGCUAGCGUUGUUCGGAAUUACUGGGCGUAAAGCGCGCGCAGGCGGCUAUCCAAGUCAGUGGUGAAAGCCCGGAGCUCAACUCCGGAACUGCCAUUGAAACUGUUUAGCUUGAGGACGAGAGAGGUGAGUGGAAUUCCCAGUGUAGAGGUGAAAUUCGUAGAUAUUAGGAAGAACACCGGUGGCGAAGGCGGCUCACUGGCUCGUUUCUGACGCUCAGGCGCGACAGCGUGGGGAUCAAACAGG